rnacentral:rRNA from 1 species
AGAGUUUGAUCCUGGCUCAGGAUGAACGCUGGCGGCGUGCCUAAUACAUGCAAGUCGAACGAGUUCUCGUUGAUGAUCGGUGCUUGCACCGAGAUUCAACAUGGAACGAGUGGCGGACGGGUGAGUAACACGUGGGUAACCUGCCCUUAAGUGGGGGAUAACAUUUGGAAACAGAUGCUAAUACCGCAUAGAUCCAAGAACCGCAUGGUUCUUGGCUGAAAGAUGGCGUAAGCUAUCGCUUUUGGAUGGACCCGCGGCGUAUUAGCUAGUUGGUGAGGUAAUGGCUCACCAAGGCGAUGAUACGUAGCCGAACUGAGAGGUUGAUCGGCCACAUUGGGACUGAGACACGGCCCAAACUCCUACGGGAGGCAGCAGUAGGGAAUCUUCCACAAUGGACGCAAGUCUGAUGGAGCAACGCCGCGUGAGUGAAGAAGGCUUUCGGGUCGUAAAACUCUGUUGUUGGAGAAGAAUGGUCGGCAGAGUAACUGUUGUCGGCGUGACGGUAUCCAACCAGAAAGCCACGGCUAACUACGUGCCAGCAGCCGCGGUAAUACGUAGGUGGCAAGCGUUAUCCGGAUUUAUUGGGCGUAAAGCGAGCGCAGGCGGUUUUUUAAGUCUGAUGUGAAAGCCCUCGGCUUAACCGAGGAAGCGCAUCGGAAACUGGGAAACUUGAGUGCAGAAGAGGACAGUGGAACUCCAUGUGUAGCGGUGAAAUGCGUAGAUAUAUGGAAGAACACCAGUGGCGAAGGCGGCUGUCUGGUCUGUAACUGACGCUGAGGCUCGAAAGCAUGGGUAGCGAACAGGAUUAGAUACCCUGGUAGUCCAUGCCGUAAACGAUGAAUGCUAGGUGUUGGAGGGUUUCCGCCCUUCAGUGCCGCAGCUAACGCAUUAAGCAUUCCGCCUGGGGAGUACGACCGCAAGGUUGAAACUCAAAGGAAUUGACGGGGGCCCGCACAAGCGGUGGAGCAUGUGGUUUAAUUCGAAGCAACGCGAAGAACCUUACCAGGUCUUGACAUCUUUUGAUCACCUGAGAGAUCAGGUUUCCCCUUCGGGGGCAAAAUGACAGGUGGUGCAUGGUUGUCGUCAGCUCGU